ensembl:lncRNA
CAGGGAAGUACCGCCGUGUAAUCCAUUUAUUUCAACAAAGUAACUGUAUUCUGAAUACCACCUUUUUAAACGGUAACUGUAACGGAAUACAGUUACUCAUAUUUUGUAUUCUGAAUACGUAACGGCGGUACAUGUAUUCCGUUACUCCCCAACACUGUCACUAGGAGAUCAGAAACAUGGUGUCCUUGCAAAAGUGGAAAGAGGCCAGGCCUUGUCUUAUAGACAAAAUGUUAUCUACUCUGGAUCCACAGUCACACCGUGUGUGUCAGUGUGGCAAACAAGUAGUUGUGAGGUGUCUGGACUGCCUGCCUCUUCCAUUCCUUUGUGCUGACUGUGAUAUUGCAGUUCACACACGCUUUGUCCUGCACAACCAAGAGGCAGUAACAGGAGGGUUUUUGCAGCCUUCAUCAGAGUUUCACAAGCCAAUAGGUACGGUUUUUAAGUCCUAUGCAUUUCUUGCUAUGUUCUAUGAGUGGGUGCUGUUAUUGUAUAUUUAUUGUGUAUCAGUUAAUUUCCAAUUCUUUUUAUAUAUAUUGUGUGUUUUUUAAUGUUAGUUCGGCUGUUGCCUGUGCAAAGGCCAGACCAUGUGUGUGACUGCCAAGCAGGUAACGUUGAGGUUUCACCCGGCGCAGUUGUGGCUCUUGUAACCAUAAAUGGUUGCCCUUUUGUCACACACUACAUACACAAUAGAUGUGUUUGCAGGUUUUAGUGCAAAUUGUACAUUGCUAUCAUCAUUGUUUAUUUAUAUAGCACUUUAAAAACACACAAGGCUGACCAAAGUGCUGAACAAUAGAAACAUAAUAGAUACAUCUAUAAGAAUUGCUAUCUUGUUUUGAAUUACCCUCGGCCUGCAGUAUAUGUGGGCACCUGUCAAAGGUCAUUUGGAUUUACUUUGCUUUGCUUUGAAAACAACAUGAAAUCUUCACAACAUGAAAAAAAUGAAUGCUUUGACCCAUGACUGAAUUUAUCCUUAUCCUUUCUAAAGGCCGUUAUAACCUUGCACUGCCAGUGGUGAGCUGCACCAGCUGUGACUUAAUGUGGUCCCCCUCAGUUAAGGACAUCCUGGGUAGUGGAUAUUGGCCUGGCACCUUAAAUUUCUGCACCCUGUUUUCAAUGGAUGCCUUUCAGUCUUUCUAUGACAUUAAGAAGGCUGCACCAGGGAUGUCACUUAAGGCAUUUGUCAAAAUGCUGGAUGAAAGAACAGCCCAUUUUUGAAGGACUGGCCGAAUAUCAGCUGAUGCCUUCAGUAAAAGCUUUGUGGAGUGGAGUGCUGUUUGAGAUGGACAGGAUGUGCAAGGAGCCAUGCGUUAGCUGCCCUGCCUGCACUCCAGACGUGCUUGCCGUCUCAGUUGAUGGAAACUGGAAGCUUUAUCGCAUUCAAUCAAAUACAAGCACUUCAGAGCAGGCGAACUUUGAAGGUGUCUUCAUUGAAAAAGAUGAGGAAGUUGCUGAGUUUAUGAAAUACAUCCAGAGACACACAAAUGAUCGUCCCAGGACAUAUUACUUUCCUUUGCUCCGAUGUGUCCUGUAAAUAUUUCCCAUAUUUAAUCAAGGUGGCUCAGCUGAGGAACCUCUUGUCAAUGCGUCCAUUUCUCUCCGUCAUGCAUGCAAAGGCUCUCAUUUGGAAAUGCGAGGGCGAACAGACAUGCUGACCCUCCUGGCUUUGGGGUGGACCAAAAGGAAAGUGGAACAACUGGGCCGCAGUUUGAGCCAGAGAUAUCUAAAGAUCAUAAGGAUCCUUAGAGAACAAAUGGAGAGCCUGAAUAUGACCAGAAAUGAGCUGGGUGUGGAUGACGACACACUGCAGCAAUGGGUGGCCGAUGUGCAGAAAUGGGCUGAAAGUGAGUCUCAAUAUAACACACUCGUGUAUAACAAUAGGACCCACCAUGGCCUCAUUAAAGAACUUAAGGUAGAGUUAAUAUCUUUCUGACAGUGUCAACAAACAAAGAAAAAUAAGCCUUGUAAAAGUGGAAUUUAUGGCAGAGUUUUUGCGUUUCAUCAAAUUGGAUUGAACCUGGGUUGAAAUGAUGUCGUACUAGUUGGUUUUAUAAACCUGAACACCGACAUACUUGUUAUCUAAUGAUAAUGCAGCACAUGAAGGC